CCUACCCAUCUUCCCUCAGGCGGACUGCCCGGUGUGUUAAAAGGGACUUGCUCUGACUUUGGGUGUUGGUCUGGUUGUUUUCUCCUGGGAAAUCAAGCACUGCAGAUGCCGCUUCUCUGACACCCAUCCCCAGAGCCGAGGAGGAGCGAUGGGCAGAGACCUCAGAGUCGACACACCUGCUUCCUUUAAGAACCACGGAAAUCUCACCCCGCAAGGACAAAAUACAGGGUUGGGGACAGACCAAGGCCAGCUGCUGACCCAGGUGUCUGGAGGAGAAGACAACUGAAGGCAAAGAAAAAGUGAGCCUCAAACCCAAGAAGCACUGACAGGAGCCAGGCACACAGGCCGUGCAGCAGGGACUCCGUGGCUGGCACACUAGAGUGGAAGACCUUGAACCUCCUAAAUUCUGAAUCAUGUGACUACAUUACUAUUCAAAGAUGACACACAUGGAUUAAAGGAAAGCACACUCCUGUCUGGAAA
rnacentral:lncRNA from 1 species